AGAAAGGCUGCUGCACCAGGAACAAAAUAAGGUGAAUUCUAGACACAUGUGAGGAGCAGGCAGAAGACAGCAUGCUAGAGAGCAGACAUUUCAUUGUAUCUACACCGUAAAAUUGCAACUGUGUAUCCCUCAGAGCUGAGGUGUGCCACCUACGUGAACUGCAAGGCAGCCACAGCCCUGCCCUCUGUGUCCUCAUCCUGGAAGAGGGUUGCUUUGUCCAUCUGGAAAUCUCUUAGAAUUCCAUGUCUGUGGGAGGCAGAGGAGAACGCAGAGCUGGAAGGUGAUAUGCGGCUUCUGCCUGGAGACUCCGCCCCACCCCAGACUUCCUGUGUCUUCUGUGAAGAGGUGAUGAAUCCACUGAGUGGCACUGAAGCUGUGAGUCUGCAAUCAUGGAUACCACUGCAGAAGAGGUUUCCUUGUCCUUCACAGCCAGCAGGAGCAUGGAUCAUAGACUGCCGCAUGAGCUCUAAUGACAGCAAGGGCCAGGGACAUCCAUCUGGCCUCCGGCACCAGCACAUGCCACAGACCUCAGCAUGGUUUCUGGUGAUAGUACAAGCCACUAACAGACAUCAAUUCAGCCUCCAGCUGCAGCAGGACCAUGGACCCCCAGUAUGGCCCUUGUCAGCAGCACAGACCACAGACAUCUGUGUGGCCUUUAGUGGUACCAUAGGCCAUAGACAUUAACAUGGCCCCCAGUGCAGUACAGAGCAUGGCCUCAGGUGGCAGCUCAGGCUAUUCCCAUUUGCAUGGUCCCCAGAGGCACCAUGGCUCAUGGACAUCAACAUGUCAGCCUGCUUUCUUUUAGAAAACCCAGGACCACCUGCCCAGGGAUAACAUCAACCACAAUGGGCUGGGCUAUCCCCGUCAAUCACUACUUAAGAAAAUGCUUACAGGCUUGCCUACAGCUCGAUCUUAUGGAGGCAUUUUCUUAAUUGAGGUUCCCUCCUCUCAGAUGACUUUAGCUUGCAUCAAGUUGACACAAACUAUAUAAUACACUGGCCAUCUCCUCAGCCACAAGCAACAGAGGGCUGUCAUGCUGAGGAAGCACGGUUCAGCUCCAGACCAGCUAGCAAUUCCUCUUCCAGCAGCAAGCUCUUCUGACUUUAGGAAUGCCCAUCAGACCCAGGCUGCCUGUGCACUGACACGAAUGUGUUAUCUGUCUGUCCAUCCCCCCCCCCCCAACACACACAUCUUAGGGUUACUGUUGCUGUAAUGAAACACUAUGACCAAAAGCAACUUGGAGAGGAAAGGGUUUAUUUCAUUCACAGCUCCAUGAAACAGUUCAUCAAAAGCAGUGAGGGGGGAACUCAAGCAGGCAGGAACCUGGAGGCAGGAGCUGAUGCAGAGGCCAUGGAGGGUGCUGCUGACUGGCUUGUUGCUCAUAGCUUAAUCAAUCUGCUUUAUUAUUAUUAUUAUUAUAUUAUUAUAUUAUUAUUAUUAUUAUUAUUAUUAUUUGUAUAUGCUCAGCCCAAGGAGUGGCACUAUUAGAAGGUAUGGCCCUGUUGGAGUAGGUGUGUCACUGUUGGCGUGGGCUUUAAGACCCUCAUCCUAGCUGCCUGGAAGCCAGUAUUCUGCUAGCAGCCUUCAGAUGAAGAUGUAGAACUCUCAGCUCCUCCUGCACCAUGCCUGCCUGGAUGCUGCCAUGUUCUUGCCUUGAUAUUUAAUGCACUGAACCUCUGAGCCUGUAGGCCAGCCCCAGUUAAAGGUCCUUACAAAAGUUGCCUCGGCCAUGAUGUCUGUAUACAGCAGUAAAACCCUAAGACAAUUAUUAUUAUUAUUAUCCUUUUGAGACAAGGUUUCUCUGUGUAGCCCUGGAUGUCCUAGAACUCACUCUAUAGACCAAGCUGGCCCUGAACUCAGAGAUUCACCUGCCUCUGACUCCCAAGUGCUGGGAUUAAAGAUGUACACAUACC
rnacentral:lncRNA from 1 species